AGACCAUGAUGUAGACAGUUUCGAAUGAGUCGUUUGAACCUAGCCCCUGCAUCACUUAAAGUCUCUGCGUCUUUUUGUUUGAAGUUUGUUAUGUCCCUUCUGUGUUA